rnacentral:rRNA from 1 species
GAUGAACGCUGGCGGCGUGCCUAAUACAUGCAAGUCGAGCGAACGGACGAGCAGCUUGCUUCUCUGAUGUUAGCGGCGGACGGGUGAGUCACAUGUGGACCACCUACCUAUAAGACUGGGAUAACUUCGGGAAACCGGAGCUAAUAACGGAUAAUAUUUUGCACCGCAUGGUUCAAAAGUGAAAGACGGUCUUGCUGUCACUUAUAGAUGGAUCCGCGCUGCAUUAGCUAGUUGGUAAGGUAACGGCUUACCAAGGCAACGAUGCAUAGCCGACCUGAGAGGGUGGUCGGCCGCACUGGAACUGAGACACGAUCCAGACUCCUGCGGCAGGCAGCAGUAGGGAAUCUUCCGCAAUGGACGAAAGCCUGACGGAAGAACGCCGCGUGAGUGAUAAUGGGCUUCUGAGCGUAAAACUCUGUUAUUAGGGAAGAACAUAUGUGUACGUAGCUUUGCACAUCGUGACGGUACCUAAUCAGAAAGCCACGGCUAACUACGUG